ACACACCUUGGAGACCUCUGAACGUACGUGUCAGAGUAACUGACAAUUUGAUCACUUGUCAGUUCCCCCGUCUUGACCCAAUCUCAGACAUAAAUCAAACGACUGCCGGCCCGACCAUUUCCGAAUACUUAUGCAGACCGACCUACGAACCCUAAGCUGUAACUAACCAAGUACCUCUGACCUCCGUCUUUCACCACCUUGACAGCCAGGUACAGGAUGUGCUGCAGACACAGGAACAGUCUCCUGCCCCGGAAAAUCAACUAUUACCUGGGAGUUACGCCCUUGUGAAAGACUGGAAUGAGGAACCACUUCGAGCCAGAUGGAAGGGCCCAUAUAGGGUACUUUUGAUGACCCCGACAGCAGCAAAGCUCGAAGGAAUCAAGACUUGGAUACAUUCCAGUCGCCUAAAGCCGGUGGCUGGACCAGAACAAGAAGGAACCCCUGCAGACUCCGGGACUGGAGACAGAGAACAGUGGAAGGUGGAGCCAAUAAGAGACUUAAAAUUCCUAUUCAAAAGAAAGGAACUUUAAAUAAUUUGUCAAUCUUUGAUCAAGUUUUACAGGCCUUAUCAUGAAAUUGUUCAAGGUUUUAUUGUGGGGCGCCCUGAUCUGUCCACUCCUUCUCAUAGGAGGGGAAAACCUUUUACAACAAAAAUUUCACCCUCAGGAAAAUGUCUGGAUUUAUCUGGCCCGGGAAAUUUUAAAUAGAACGGACUUCUGCUUAGCGGGAGGGAUCAAUGCUCACCUGGUUUUUACCUCAAGCUUAAUCGCAGUACCAACCCCUUUGAAAAUUUUACAAAAUUAUACUAUGCUGGAAGAUGUAGAGAAGGAAAGUACAUAUCAGGAUAUAUAUAUAAGUGGGGGACUAUUGUAAAAGAGAAAAGCAGAAACAUGUUCUCCUUACGGGUUCAGGCAACAGCUAAUGCUUCUGAAUGUUUCCUAAUGGUUAAUUGUACUGGUAAUUGCCUUAAAAUUGAACCAAGGUAAAUCAAAUGAUUUUACAAACAAAGAAAGCUGAUGAUACUAGAUUUUUGUUAAGCCAAAUUGAACGGAGCAAUCAUAAUAAUAAUUAAAAAUGCUCCAUAGGGGGGAAUGUAAGGAGUGACCUAGAAAACACUACCCAAGACAAAGCAAACAGAAUGUUAUGUGACGAAUGCCCAUCUGCAAUGAUAAGGAGGAGACAGUCUGAGAUAAAGCGGGCUUGAAAACAAAAAGGAAAAAACAGGGUACUGGGUUAAAAGGGCUCGUUAAAAUACUAAAAAUCAUGCCCCUAGGUGGGGAAAAAGUAUGCUAAUGAAACAUACAUGUAUAUAAAUGAGAUACAUAGCUAAAACACAGGUAUAGAGACAUGCUCAGUAAAGAACUUCUUGCGUCACUCCUUACAACCAAUCAGCAAACAAAUACGCUGGUGAGAACUUGAAAACUCCUGUAUAAAAGAUGCUUAGUGGUAGUGAUCUGGUGUGCUUGUUAUGUGAAAUUAUUCCGCUCGCACCUUUUAUUGCUAGCAAUAAACCUUCUUUAUACUUUCA